rnacentral:lncRNA from 1 species
UCACACCGUGAAAUGGAAUGAACCGUAGUUGCUUCCGUCAAUUCUUUCAACAACUUGUGAGCUUUCAAUACCAAUUAUUAUUAUAUGUACCUCACAAGUGUUUCACUCUUCUCAAUAUCCUAUGUGUUUGCACUCACUCAUGCUCACAUAUUUUUCAUUCUGAUAUCUCACUGGUUCUUCUCAGAAUCUCACCAAGUGUUUAACUCUCAAUGUUUGGCUCACAGUGUUUCUCUCAGCACUCAAAGUAUGGUCUUCCGUACCUGCAUGAGAAAAUCACCAUAGCCCUUUCAAGAGAGGUCACUGGAGGUGCAAUGGGGUUUCGUAAAUCCCCGAUCCUCAA